AUUGAACGCUGGCGGCAUGCCUUACACAUGCAAGUCGAACGGUAACACGCUGCGAGGUUCUGCCGAGUGGCGGACGGUUGCGUAAUGCAGCGGAACGUGCCCAGACCUGGGGGUUAACUACGCGAAAGGGAAGCUAAUACCCCAUACGAUCUAUGGAGGAAAGCGGGGGACCGCAAGGCCUCUCGCGAUUUGACCCGCCGAUGUCAGAUUAGGUAGUUGGUGGGGUAAAGGCGCACCAAGCCCACGAUCUGUAGCUGGUCUGAGAGGACGAGCAGCCACACUGGGACUGAGACACGGCCCAGACUCCUACGGGAGGCAGCAGUGGGGAAUUUUGGACAAUGGGCGCAAGCCUGAUCCAGCAAUGCCGCGUGGAGGAAGAAGGCCUUCGGGUUGUAAACUGCUUUUGUUCGGAACGAAACGGCGCUGGUUAAUACCCGGGGGUACUGACGGUACCGUAAGAAUAAGCACCGGCUAACUACGUG
rnacentral:rRNA from 1 species